UCCUAUGAGGGAAAUGCUGAUACUUGCGGAAUCUGGUGGUUCUCUAACUUGGGCCUUAUAAGAGGAGCAGCAUGCCUGUGUCCUGGGUGGUAAAUGCAAGCUGGACCAGCUCCCACAGAAGGACAGUGGUAGGAAAGCAGAGACAGGAUGACAAAAAGAGCAUCUUUCAUCUAAGUUAAAAAUACUUCAGUGCCUAUACAUGUUCACCCUACAGCCUUAAAUUUCUCAGGAGGUUAAGGACACUGCAAGUAUAACUGUACUCUGUCAACAUACUGUUGUACACCUAUCAAAAACUUACAUCUUUGGUAAGUUUGCUGAAAAUGUUUACUAUGUCCAAUUGCUGUAUUUUGUGUAUCACAUACUUUACUACUGAUAUGCAAAGUAGUAUUUGCCAAUGCUGAUAUGCAUGUUUCAUGUGUUUUAGAAUACCUGUAGUAUUUGCUGGGGCCCACAACAAACUUGAGAUUGCAACCUGCAUCAGCUAUCACACUACUAGUAGAUAUCACAAAAUGAUAAUUCUAAGCAUUUAAGUUCACAUGCUUCUAAUUGUCUUUAAAAAAAAUGCCAGCAGCAAGCUGGGAUAUUUUACUCUGACAAUCUGGACAGUAGCAUUCUCUUCAGCAGAAGUCUUACAAGCUGACAUCCCAAUGAUUUAUGUAAAAUACUGAAUGGAAAGACUUCAUGGCAAAAGGGCUCUGCACUUAAGCUUUACUCCUUCACCAUUCCAGCCAUCCAAAGCUUUGCCAAAGGGUUCAGUGAUGCUGAGCUCAUUGUGGGGUUUCACAUCAGCACCACUGCAGCAGUCACUAGAACGCGCUGUGCCACAUUCAGAGCAGUCCUGCUAAUACUUCUUUCUCAAAGAAAACUGCAUGGCAUGAUUUCAGGAGUGUUCCGUAGCAUUAUCCAUUACAGUCUCCCCAGCAGCAUUAUUCCCUUUCAGUGCUAUUCACACAACCCUUUUGUGUAGUUUCCUGUUGCAGGUCUGCAGUCUCUCAUCUGCAUCUUAUCCUUACUGGAAAAGGGUAUCUGGCCACAGACUCUAAGAGACUGGACACCUCAACAUUUGCAAGACUAGGGAUUUUGACAUUUUUCUCCCUUUGUUACUUUACAGUCCCUUAAAGGUCAUUAUUAUCCAAUGCAGUGGAGCCAAAGCCACAGAAUGCAAAAGGAAUUAAACCUGCACUGAACAGC